UACGUAGGGUGCAAGCGUUAAUCGGAAUUUCUGGGCGUAAAGCGUGCGCAGGCGGUGAUGUAAGACAGUUGUGAAAUCCCCGGGCUCAACCUGGGAACUGCAUCUGUGACUGCAUCGCUGGAGUGCGGCAGAGGGGGAUGGAAUUCCGCGUGUAGCAGUGAAAUGCGUAGAUAUGCGGAGGAACACCGAUGGCGAAGGCAAUCCCCUGGGCCUGCACUGACGCUCAUGCACGAAAGCGUGGGGAGCAAACAGG
rnacentral:rRNA from 1 species